GAUGAACGCUGGCGGCGUGCCUAAUACAUGCAAGUCGAGCGAACAGAUGAGGAGCUUGCUCCUCUGACGUUAGCGGCGGACGGGUGAGUAACACGUGGAUAACCUACCUAUAAGACUGGGAUAACUUCGGGAAACCGGAGCUAAUACCGGAUAAUAUAUUGAACCGCAUGGUUCAAUAGUGAAAGACGGUUUUGCUGUCACUUAUAGAUGGAUCCGCGCCGCAUUAGCUAGUUGGUAAGGUAACGGCUUACCAAGGCAACGAUGCGUAGCCGACCUGAGAGGGGACCCGGCCACACGGGAAAGGAAACCCGGUCCAAACCCCCACGGGGGGCAGCAGGGGGGAAUUUGCCGCAAGGGGCGAAAGCCGGACGGGGCAACCCCGCGGGAGGAAGAAAGGUUUUGGGAUCGUAAAACUUUUUUAUUAGGGAAAAAAAAAGGUUAAAUUAACUUUGCCCGUUUUGACGGUCCCUAAUCAAAAAGCCACGGCUAACUACGU
rnacentral:rRNA from 1 species